UCCAUAUCCAUGUGUGUAGGAUCCUAAAAAAUCACCAUUAAAUUUGGUACAGAUCUCUAGAAAAAUUAUCUCAUGGGUGUGAGACUUGACUUUUCUAGAGAUCUGUGCCAAAUUUAAUGAUGAUCAUUUGGAGUCCUACACACAUGGGUGUGGG
rnacentral:pre_miRNA from 1 species